CUCAUGCUUGCUCACUCACUCCACCUAUAUUUGUCGCUUCAGCGCAGCAGCGUCUAACGUCCAUCACACCUUGUCGGUGUUCCCCCUCCGAGCUAUUCAAGAAACCCAUUACUUUCGAUAUCUCCAGCUCAUUUCGUCUUUUACAAUUCCAUGUUUUUAUUUUGGGUAAUGAACCAAUUGUAAACAUCUGAAAAAAAUAUAUAAUGGCGUAUGAAAUACUGUCAUCUGAGUAUUAUUUAACCUUCCACAAAACAUCCACCAGAACGAUCUCAUAAUUGUAAGACCUUGAAACCCCGAACAUGAGGUGUAGAAGGAAAUAGCAAGGUGGGGGUUAAAGGUAAUGGGGACAGGUGAUAUUAGGUGACCUUCAUGUAAUGCUUGACGGGGGUCUCUUAUCAACAUUUGUAAGGUGGUGAUAGUAGUACCUUUACUGAUAACAGUUAAUAUCAGUGGUUCAAACUCGCCAUGAUGGCUGGUACAUAGCAUUAUAGGGUUACUGAGAUCAUCUUUGUAUAUCUGGUUAAUGUCUGUUACUAUCGUUUAAGUUAUGAAUCCUGGUUCUCCCACGAAGUAACGCGCCACACACAGCCAUGGACGGUCUGUAUAACGCCAGUGGUCUUAACAGUCGUGUGUUUGCAGCCUUUGUGGAGGUUUAUUUGGUAAUUACGAUUAUCUACACUUAGGAUGGCGGCGGCAUACAGAGACAACUCUGUUGAGCAUAUACCUCAAGGCUGCAAACACGACUGUCAAGACCACUGGCGCUAUACAGAUUGUCCAUGGCUGUGUGUGGCGCGUUACUUCGUGGGAAAACCAGGUCUAAAGACUGUCACCCAAUAAUCUGAGACACUGAAUAAUGUUAAUAUUAUACGGUUUUGCAACACCUACAUCCUUUAUAACCCACCAUCACUAGAUCAAUACACCGAUGCACACAUUCAGUGCAUUUCAUUUCACACAAUUUAUUUUCACUAAGAGUUUCGGAAACAGCAUAAGUAGCCUAGAUGGUUGCGAGGGGCGGAGCCAAGUGACCCAUCACACUCAAAUACUGGUAACUCAACUAAGUUAUACCAUAAAUACAAAUCCUGUAGUACUAGAUUAUCAUAUCCAGUAAUGCAUUCUUUGUAUAGAUUAAUUAAUAAAAUAAUACCCUUCCAAAAUUGAUGCUUUCAUAACUCAUACAACCCACGGCUACAAAACCUGGUGUGAAACAUCUUUGUGACUAGAUUCAUAUAUUAUUGGUAAUACAGAGCACCUUUCACGGCAAGAAGGGCAUGAGCUCUCCAAGCCAGGCUUGGCGGGGCGACGCUGGUUUUGUUGCUGGCUGUACAUCAAUACCGACAACAUAAUUCGGCUCCAAUAAGAAAAAAGGUAUUAAUUAGUAAAGAGGUGUGGAAAGGCGCGAAGUUUAGGUGAUUUCUUUAAACG